rnacentral:rRNA from 1 species
CGGGAAACUGUAGCUAAUACCGUAUAUUCCAGUAAUGGGAAAGAUUUAUCGCUAUAAGAUUGGCCCGCGCAAGAUUAGCUUGUUGGUGAGGUAAAAGCUCACCAAGGCUUCGAUCUUUAGCUGGUUUGAGAGGAUGAUCAGCCACACUGGGACUGAGACACGGCCCAGACUCCUACGGGAGGCAGCAGUAGGGAAUAUUGGACAAUGGGGGCAACCCUGAUCCAGCAAUGCAGCGUGAGUGACGAAGGCCUUAGGGUUGUAAAACUCUUUCAUCGGUGAGGAUAAUGACAGUAGCCGAAGAAGAAGGACCGGCUAAUUCCGUGCCAGCAGCCGCGGUAAUACGGAAGGUCCUAGCGUUGUUCGGAAUUACUGGGCGUAAAGCGCAUGUAGGCGGAACAGAAAGUUAGAAGUGAAAUCCCUGGGCUCAACCUAGGAAUUGCUUUUAAAACUUCUGUUCUGGAAUUCAGGAGAGGAAAAUGGAAUUUCCAGUGUAGAGGUGAAAUUCGUAGAUAUUGGAAGGAACACCAGUGGCGAAGGCGAUUUUCUGGACUGAUAUUGACGCUGAGAUGCGAAGGCAUGGGUAGCAAACGGGAUUAGAUACCCCGGUAGUCCAUGCAGUAAACGAUGGGUGCUAGUCGUCGGACUUUUGUUCGGUGUCGUAGCUAACGCGUUAAGCACCCCGCCUGGGGAGUACGGUCGC